AGGGUUUGAUUAUGGCUCAGGACGAACGCUGGCGGUGCGCCUUAUGCAUGCAAGUUGAGCGAAGCUUUUCAGUAGUUUACUACAGAAAAUGACUGAGCGGCGAACGGGUGAGUAACGCGUGAGCAAUCUACCUUAGUUACUGGGAUAGCCCGAGGAAACUCGGAUUAAUACCGGAUAUUCUUAUUUUUUCACAUGAAGUUUUAAGGAAAGGUCAGCCGAACUAAGAUGAGCUCGCGCUCUAUCAGCUAGUUGGUGGGGUAAAAGCCUACCAAGGCUACGACGGAUAGCUGGUCUGAGAGGACGAUCAGCCACACUGGGACUGAGACACGGCCCAGACUCCUACGGGAGGCUGCAGCAGGGAAUGUUGUGCAAUGAGCGAAAGCUUGACACAGCGACACCGCGUGUGGGAUGACGGUUCUAGGAUUGUAAACCACUUUCAGGAGGGAAGAAAAUGACGGUACCUCCACAAGAAGACCCGGCCAACUAUGUGCCAGCCGCCGCGGUAAUUCA
rnacentral:rRNA from 1 species